GGAAGGACGAAAAGUCUAACACGAAAAAUCCUCCAUUUAAACUUGGAUCUGAUAUCACAGAUUGAACAUUUGCUCUCUCCUUACCCUAGAAAUGAUAGCUGAGCUUAGCAGACUUGUCAAGCAUUGCAUUUCUAUACAUGCUGCAGUAGUUUGCAUGGUAUAAGAGUAUUUUUAGAGGGUGAAGAGUAUGAAGGGUAAUGCUGCUUCCCUAAAGUCAAGAGCAAAAGAGUAAAAGUGUAAGAAAUGGUUUCUGCAGCAUGUUUGUCGGAACUAAUGUAAGUGAGCUGUGACUGUUAGCUUAUCUAUUAGCUUUGUAACAAGACUUUACUUCAAAGGCUAAGAAGUACAUCUUUUACUUACUAAAUUUCUUUAUUUUCUGGAGUUACAGGGUAUUUUAAAUCCAGUACAUGUAUAUGUCCAAUCAGUACAUGUGGCUUUGGAAGUCACCUGGAAACUCAGUUAGCCAAGAGAGACCUUAGCUAAGGCGAUAGACGGUAUAAAAGAUGGACGUAGCCAAUGUGCUUACAUACUUUUGUGUGUGAAGUUCUGCUUUGAAGCCCCAAGGUGUGUGUUUACCUCAUCAUCAUCUUGGCAUUUUUAAACUGGAUUUAAUGAGGGAAAACCACACUCUCAUUUGCUAAUGGCUUGUCAAUCACAUGUCAUUAGCCAGUGAUCAUAUUCUGAAUAAUAAUAAUGAAUUAUGCUAUUCAUUGUAUUCAGUAUGCCUUCAAAUGAGUCACCGUUCCUCAUACUGAGGAAACUGUCCCCUGAGGUUAGAGAAGAGUGACAUUUUUCUAUCAACUCCUACAAGACUGGAAGUGUUUUUGCAACCACCAGUAUCAACCCCAGUGGCCAAUAAAUAGAAUGUAGAUUUAAAGUCCUUUUCGGACCCAGAAGCUAUCUUCAUUUUUUGUACCGCCUCUGACUAAACCUGUAAAUUUACUUGAUUAGUUAUCUACAACAGAUAAAAUGUGCCCCUGGUGGUUGUAAUUUAGCAUAUUGUUAUUCUGAAGUAGAAACCUACGUUUGUCUAACGUUUCAAAAAUAUAAUUAGUAACAUGCACCAUGCUAGAAGGGAAAUCCAGACAGGCCUGAUAGUUAUAAAAUCUGAGCCACUCUGCUGCCAGUGAAAAGUUGCUUUUUUAAUUGUGUUGUUCGGCCCCAAUGUUUUAGUACUAGUAAAAUAGAGGCGUGACAAACUGUUCUGCUUUUUUCAGCAUAAGCCGCAGAUGCAAAUUCAGAGUUUGAAACUGUUCAUUCUACUCUUGCUAACUCUAUGAUUUCACUCUAGCGCACUACCCGUGACCGCUGGCCUUUUAGAUGCCUUAUUUUCUGAGCUAUUUUUCUGUUUUGUUGCCCUAUACAGGGGAUAUUGAGAGUAAAGUGUAUUUAUCUGUGUUCUUAAGGUAACCUCACAUUAACACCCUGGUUUUAUAACAUCCCAGAGGCCCCCUCAAACUGUACCAUCAUAACUUCCAUACCUUUAAGUAGAUACUAUUAGAACCGUCACACAUGAAGACCUGUAAAAGUGGACGGGGAAAAUCACAGUGUUGUUAUUUAUUUGCAAAUUAUGAAUAUGAUUGGCUUUCAGUUCUUUUCUUUAUAAGUGCCAAAUUCCUCUUGCAUUUUUAACAUUAUGUUACUGCCUGCAAAAUAAUGGUGAAUUGUUGACAUUGUCCUCUUUUUGACCCACUUAUUCAUCAGCACUCUCACUUUAGAAGAAACCAUUUUGGUUUCUACUCUGAACUCCCUGGUUUUUAUCACUUUUCACCAUGUCAAGGUUAGCUAUGUGGGCUGGUUUGCUUGAACUUAAAUACAGUGUUUGUAUCCAUUCUCCACAAAGUCUGUAUCGUAAAUGUUAAUGAGUGAUUCUCAUCUGAGACUUUUAGCACUCUAUCUCCCUCUUUGUCCUCCUCUCUCUCUUUGUUUGGCCAUCAUACAAGGCUUAUUUGUCCCCAUGCCAAUUUCCUCUGCGUUGCUUGUUGUAAAGGGUGUAGGCAUUUUAAUGUCUUUCAUGUCGCUGUAAUAAAUAUGCUAAUAUUUCUAAUUUCUCA
ensembl:lncRNA